GACGGAGGGUGCAAGCGUUGUUCGGAAUUACUGGGCGUAAAGCGUACGUAGGCGGCGGGUUAAGUCGAAUGUUAAAGCCUGGGGCUCAACCCCAGAGAUGCACUCGAUACUGGCUUGCUAGAGGGUGAUAGAGGAAAUCGGAAUUCCCAGUGUAGCGGUGAAAUGCGUAGAUAUUGGGAGGAACAUCAGUAGCGAAGGCGGCUUUCUGGGUCACACCUGACGCUGAGGUACGAAAGCGUGGGGAGCAAACGGG
rnacentral:rRNA from 1 species